AUCCAACUGACGAGCCCUAAAUGGGACGAAAAGCGCGUCCUGGAU
rnacentral:hammerhead_ribozyme from 1 species